rnacentral:snRNA from 2 species
UUACUUACCUGGACGGGGUCAAUGGAUGAUCAAGAAGGUCCAUGGCCUAGGUUGGUGACCUCCAUUGCACUUAGGAGGGGUGCCUGCCUAAGGUCGGCCCAAGUGGUCGAGCCUAUGUCAUAAUUUGUGGCAGUGGAGGCCUGCGUUCGCGCGGCCUCUGC